rnacentral:lncRNA from 1 species
ACCUCCACUCUAUCUCUCUCAGUCUAGUAGAAACUAGAAGAUCUAUUUCUACUUACAUUGGUUGCUAAGCCUAAAAAGAAAUAUUAAUUAGAGAAGAGGUUUUCCUUCGAGGGCACCCCUCAAUCUCUAUUAUAACUUCUUGUCUUCUCCAGGGGCCAGGGGGGUCUCCUUAUAUAGUCCUCCUCCUCUAUGCGUUUUUGGGUCGGUAGGCGAGGUGGUACUACGUUAUCUUUGAUCCAUUAGGUCGGUGGAACAUCGUGUGCGAAGAGAGUCCCGAACGGAGUACAGGAGGGGGCGGGCGCCCAGGACCUCAGGGCGGGCACCCUGGGCCUGGCCCCUUUCGGCCUCUGCUUUCUUCCCGUGGCUUCUGGAGUCUUCUAGAUGGUAGAAAAUCGCGCGGUGCGUUGAUAUCUCUAUGUAAUCCUGACAUGUGGGCCUUUCUUCCUUAUUUCCUGAUAACCCCCUGCAGAAACAGAUAAACAACAAAACUCAUGGAAUUCUGUCAGAUCAAACCGUAAUUCUAGGUAUUGGUUGCAUAUUGGUCCUUUCUCUUAUUUAUUUGAUAAUUAAAAUUGAUACUUAAGAAACGUCAACAGCGGGCAUCGAUGUACCCAUUGUUUUAAUUGCUAGAACACUUGUCCAUCUUUUACUCCCCCUUUUUUUUCUUUUUUUUCUUUUAAAUACUUUUGCAUAGCCACAUGCAUCCUUUGAAUUAAAUAAUCGGAGAGAUAAUGAUAAGAACUUAGAGCAAUUAAAUGGGGGCUGUCCUAUAGAGUAUAUUUUUGGGUGUUUACUCCUACUAUAGGAGAAAGAACAUUUUUAAGGUGUAUCUGGAUGAAGGUGAAAAUGACUGAGCUUACAUCCUAGACUAAGAGUAAUGCAUAUGUGGGUGGAGUGCGUAAGUGAUCUUAAUUUUAAAAGCAUGACAAGACUCUCAUAAGGUAUACUCCAAAGGUUGACUAAACUCAAUGUAAAGCAAGCAACAUGAAUGUGCAAAGGUUUUUGUAACUCUAAAUGUAUCAUAUAUGGCUUUGGUAGGAAUUUAAACUUUAUCAUACAAGAGCUCAUCAUGUAAGAUUUUGGGUUUUUGAAAAUAAAUCUCCAGAACUUAGUAAUGCUAGGAAUAAGAUAAAUAGUAGCUUAGACCUUCAUGUAUAAUACGAAUUACCAAGACUGUAACACCCCAAAAUUUGCAAUUUUCCAAAAUAGGAUAAAUUGUUAAAUUGUGUAUUUUUGUGCCCAUGAAAUAUAGGAAAAAUAAUAUUUUCUUUAAACAAAAAUUUACUAUAGGAGUUAGCAACUUGUCUG